GCUCCCCUCGAGACCUCGCCUUCCCUCGCUGCUCGCAGGCCGGCGGCAACUGCACUUCUCGAGACAUCCUUCUAUGCACAGCUACAACAUAACAAGGUACUGUAGGUCUUAACGACUAUUGAUUAAUUAUCUAUUGCUUAGGCCUUGUUUAGAUCCGAAAAUUUUUUAUAUAUUGACACUGUAGUAUUUUCAUUUUUAUUUGACAAAUAUUGUCCAAUCAUAAAGUAAUUAGGCUUAAAAGAUUCAUCUCGCGAUUUACAGAUGUUGACACCGUUUUUGGGCACAUGUCCAGGAUGGCAGGAUAGGGUGGCAAUACAAUGCGGGUUGCUGAUGAGGAUGGUUGCCGAUGAGGGAGAGGUUGAAUGUGACUAAGUCCACAGGCAGUAGUAUGGUGCCGAUGGCUGGGUG
rnacentral:lncRNA from 1 species